UGCCAGCAGCCGCGGUAAGACGGAGGGUCCUAGCGUUGUUCGGAAUGACUGGGCGUAAAGGGUACGUAGGCGGUUCGUUAAGUCUGAUGUGAAAUCCCGGGGCUCAACCCCGGAAGUGCAUUUGAAACCCCGGAACUUGAGUAUGGGAGAGGGAAGUGGAAUUCCAGGUGUAGGGGUGAAAUCCGUAGAUAUUCGGAGGAACACCAGUGGCGAAGGCGGCUUUCUGGACCGAUACUGACGCUGAGACGCGAAAGCGUGGGGAGCAAACAGGAUAAGAUA
rnacentral:rRNA from 1 species